AUUGAACGCUGGCGGCAGGCCUAACACAUGCAAGUCGAGCGAGCGGCGGACGGGGGAGUAAUGUAUGGGGACUGCCCGAUAGAGGGGGAUAACUACUGGAAACGGUAGCUAAUACCGCAUACUAUCGGAUAACCCAUAGGGGAGUAGCUAGUAGGUGAGGGAAUGGCUGACCUAGGAGACGAGCCCUAGCUGGUCUGAGAGGAUGAUCAGCCACACUGGGAUGGCGACACGGCCCAGACUCCUACGGAGGCAGCAGUGGGGAAUAUUGCACUAUGGGCGCAAGCCGGAUGCAGCCAGGCCGCGUGUAGUAAGAAGGCCCUAGGGUUGUAAAGUACUUUCAGUCGGGAGGCGUUACCGACAGAAGAAGCACCGGCUAACUCCGUGCCAGCAGCCGCGGUAAUUC
rnacentral:rRNA from 1 species